rnacentral:tRNA from 1 species
UGGGGUGGCGCCAAGUGGUAAGGCACUGGGUUCUGGUCCCAGCAUGCGGGGGUUCGAAUCCCUCCACCCCAGCCA